GGUGACCUGCGGAAGGAUCAUUACCGAGUGCGGGUCCUUUGGGCCCAACCUCCCAUCCGUGUCUAUUAUACCCUGUUGCUUCGGCGGGCCCGCCGCUUGUCGGCCGCCGGGGGGGCGCCUUUGCCCCCCGGGCCCGUGCCCGCCGGAGACCCCAACACGAACACUGUCUGAAAGCGUGCAGUCUGAGUUGAUUGAAUGCAAUCAGUUAAAACUUUCAACAAUGGAUCUCUUGGUUCCGGCAUCGAUGAAGAACGCAGCGAAAUGCGAUAACUAAUGUGAAUUGCAGAAUUCAGUGAAUCAUCGAGUCUUUGAACGCACAUUGCGCCCCCUGGUAUUCCGGGGGGCAUGCCUGUCCGAGCGUCAUUGCUGCCCUCAAGCCCGGCUUGUGUGUUGGGUCGCCGUCCCCCUCUCCGGGGGGACGGGCCCGAAAGGCAGCGGCGGCACCGCGUCCGAUCCUCGAGCGUAUGGGGCUUUGUCACAUGCUCUGUAGGAUUGGCCGGCGCCUGCCGACGUUUUCCAACCAUUUUUUCCAGGUUGACCUCGGAUCAGGUAGGGAUACCCGCUGAACUUAAGCAUAUCAAUAAGCGGAGGAAAAGAAACCAACCGGGAUUGCCUCAGUAACGGCGAGUGAAGCGGCAAGAGCUCAAAUUUGAAAGCUGGCUCCUUCGGAGUCCGCAUUGUAAUUUGCAGAGGAUGCUUUGGGUGCGGCCCCCGUCUAAGUGCCCUGGAACGGGCCGUCAGAGAGGGUGAGAAUCCCGUCUUGGGCGGGGUGUCCGUGCCCG
rnacentral:rRNA from 1 species